AUGGCCAAUCAAAAAAGGAGAAGGAAACAGAUUGUUGUACUAGAAACCCCUUCAGGUCCUGUGGAAGACACUAAAGGUAUUUUGCAGAUAGCUGUUGAUUAUUAUAAAAAGCUGUUUGGUUUUGUUCCUACUAUUGAUAUUGAUCUCAAAGAUGAUUUUUGGGAUCAGGAUAGUUUACUUUCCACAGAGCAUUUUAAUUUACUGGAAAAGCCUUUCUCUGAGGAGGAAAUCAAGGCUGUUGUAUUUGGCUCUUAUGCUGAAGGAGCUCCAGGCCGUGAUGGAUUUCCUUUUCUUUUUUACCAGAAAUACUGGGAUUUAAUCAAACAUGAUCUUUUUGCUCUUUUUAGAGUUUGGGAGGCUGGUAAUCUAGAUCUAUAUAGACUCAACUUCUCCCUUUUGACCUUGGUCCCUAAAGAACCUAAUGCAGUUAAACUAGAUAGGUUUAGGCCUCUAGCCAUGAUCAAUUGCAGUUUUAAAAUAUUUGCUAAAUGUGCUACAAACAGAUUUGGCCCUGUUUGUAAUGUUCUUAUUUCCCCUAAUCAGACUGCUUUCCUGAAAGGGAGAUUCAUUCUGGGAAGCAUUAUAGCUGCUCAUGAGGUGGUCCAUGUAGUGGCCUCCAAUAAAAUGUCUGGUUUCUAUUUUAAAUUAGAUUAUGAAAAAGCCUAUGAUAUGAUUAGUAGAGAGUUUCUUUUGAAAAUGCUGAGGCAGAGAGGCUUUGGUCCUAUUUGGAUGUAUAAGCUUGAAUCUUUGCUCUGCAAUAUCUGUGGGUGUCAGAAUUAA
rnacentral:rRNA from 1 species